rnacentral:rRNA from 1 species
CCUACGGGAGGCUGCAGUGAGGAAUAUUGGUCAAUGGACGCAAGUCUGAACCAGCCAUGCCGCGUGCAGGAAGACGGCUCUAUGAAUUGUAAACUGCUUUUGUACGAGGGUAAACUCAGAUACGCGUAUCUGUCUGCACGUAUCUUACGAAUAAGGAUCGGCUAACUCCGUGCCAGCAGCCGCGGUAAUACGGAGGAUUCAAGCGUUAUCCGGAUUUAUUGGGUUUAAAGGGUGCGUAGGCGGAAGGUUAAGUCAGCGGUCAAAUGUCGGGGCUCAACACCGGCCUGCCGUUGAAACUGGUCGUCUUGAGUGAGCGAGAAGUAUGCGGAAUGCGUGGUGUAGCGGUGAAAUGCAUAGAUAUCACGCAGAACUCCGAUUGCGAAGGCAGCAUACCGGAGCGCAACUGACGCUGAGGCACGAAAGCGUGGGGAUCGAACAGGAUUAGAUACCCGUGUAGUC